GAUUAAUUUAUUUUUGGAAAUCAAGUGCAAUAUUGGAAGCCAUUUCUACUAAUUUUAUUUCACUUUUAAAUUUAUGAUUUGAUUUGAAUACUAUCAUGGGAGGAGCUGUGAGUGCUGGGGAAGAUAAUGAUGACUUAAUUGAUAAUUUAAAAGAAGCUCAGUAUAUUCGUACUGAAAGAGUGGAGCAAGCCUUCAGAGCGAUUGAUCGUGGAGAUUACUAUUUGGAAGGCUACAGAGACAAUGCUUACAAAGACUUAGCCUGGAAGCAUGGAAACAUCCACUUGUCAGCACCUUGCAUUUAUUCUGAAGUUAUGGAAGCAUUGAAACUUCAACCAGGAUUGUCUUUUCUUAACCUGGGAAGUGGAACCGGAUAUUUAAGUACAAUGGUGGGCUUAAUUUUAG
rnacentral:circRNA from 1 species